rnacentral:lncRNA from 1 species
CACAGGCUCUGCCUGCGGCAGUUCUCAACCUGCUUGCCGGAGAGGAGCCAAGGAAACUGCUCUUCCUACUUCCUCCUGCUUCAGAAGGUCAGGGCAGCUGGCCUUUCCCAAGCACCUCUGUGGACCCGGCCCAGCACUGUUCCCGAGAGCUCCCAGACUACAACCAAGCACCCAAGAGCCUUCAUCCUCAUGUCUAGGGGAUCCCAUUGCAGGCUGGCUCUUUGCCCUCACCUCUGAGUGACCCAUCCAGCAACAGCCUGUACCAAGCAAGCCUAUCAUUGUCUUCCUACCCAAACUCCUCUUCGUUGAACCUGUCUU